rnacentral:rRNA from 1 species
CCUACGGGUGGCAGCAGUGGGGAAUAUUGCACAAUGGGGGAAACCCUGAUGCAGCGACGCCGCGUGAGUGAAGAAGUAAUUCGUUAUGUAAAGCCCUAUUAGCAGGGAAGAAAAUGACGGUAUCUGAGUAAGAAGCCCCGGCUAACUACGUGCCAGCAGCCGCGGUAAUACGUAGGGGGCAAGCGUUAUUCGGAUUUACUGGGUGUAAAGGGAGCGUAGGCGGGAGAGCAAGUCUGAGGUGAAAGGCGGGGGCUUAACCCUCGGACUGCCCUGGAAACUGUACUGCUGGAGUGUAGGAGAGGUAGGUGGAAUUCCUGGUGUAGCGGUAAAAUGCGUAGAUAUUAGGAGGAACACCAAUGGCGAAGGCGACUUGCUAGACUGUAACUGACGUUGAGGCUCGAAAGCGUGGGGAGCAAACAGGAUUAGAUACCCGGGUAGUC